AAGCGGAGGAAAAGAAACCAACAGGGAUUGCCUCAGUAACGGCGAGUGAAGCGGCAAAAGCUCGAAUUUGAAAUCAAGUUUUCUUGAAUUGUAAUUUGAAGAAGCGUCGCAAGGUGGAGUGAUAGUGCAAGUGCCUUGGAACAGGCCGCCAAGGAGGGUGAGAGCCCCGUGACACUACCACCGACACCGUCAGCGAUGCCUCGAAGAGUCGAGUUGUUUGGGAAUGCAGCUCUAAGCGGGUGGUAUAUUCCAUCUAAGGCUAAAUAUUGGCGAGAGACCGAUAGCAAACAAGUACAGUGAUGGAAAGAUGAAAAGAACUUUGAAAAGAGAGUGAAAUAGUACGUGAAAUUGUUGAAAGGGAAGGGUAUUUGAUCCGACAGACCUUUUAAGGUGGUGCCAGCAUCGGUUGGCGAAGAAGGAUAAAGGUGUGGCAAUGUGCCCCUUCGGGGAGUUAUAGGCCGCGCACAGACUUCUCUUGGCGACCGAGGACUGCGGAAGUAGUGUUUACUGCUUCCAAGGAUGCUGGCAGAACGAGCAAAUACCGCCCGUCUUGA
rnacentral:rRNA from 1 species